UUAGGGUUUUUAUGGCUGUGAUUAAAACAAAACAAAACAAAACAAAACAAAACAUGACCAAAAGCAAGUUGGAGAGGAAGAGUCAUUUUUUCACCUUACAGUUUGUAGUCAUUCUGUCAUAGAAGGAAGUCAGGGCAGGAACCUGGAAGCAGGAGCUGAUACAGAGACCAUGGAGGGGUGCUGCUUACUGCCUUGCUCCUCCAGACUUGCUCAGCCUGCUUCCUAAUAGGACCCAGUACCGCCAGCCCACGGGUUGCACCACUCACAGUGAUCCGGGCCCGCCCCCACCAAAAAAAAAAAAAAUCAGUUAAAAAAAUGGUACCUGAGGCUUCCCCACAGCCCACGAGAGUGGGAGCAUUUUCUCAGUUGAGGUUCCUUUUUCCAGAUGACUCUAUAAUUUGUAUAAAGUCAACAUAAAACGAGCGAGCCCAACUCUACAUUUCUAAAACUCAGCUUAUCUGUCUCUCAAAGACUAUACCUGCCACAUCCUAUAAAUAAAUCAUUGAGUAAACAGUCUGACGUUUCAAAGGCUCUGAGAUAGGCAUAAGAUAGAAUCUUUCUGUGUUUUUUUAGCUUAGGAAACGUACUCAGUGACUAUAUGGGUGAAUUCUCUUGUGAUCUAAGAUAUCUGAGUUGGGGGAAGAAAAACCCUGGCCUCAUCGCAGACAAGUGAUGUAGUGUUGUCUGAGUUUCAUGGCAGGAGAUUAUGAACUAGCCCACUGAGUCCUCACCGGGGUCACUCCAUAUCCCCAGUGCAGUCAAACCUCCCUCCAAAAAGGCAUUACCUGGCAUCCAAAGGGAGCAUACUGUGGUCCUUUUAGAGGACACAUACCCUGGGGAGCAAGGGAGUGUCUGUGUGGCCACUGAGGCUCUCCUCCUGUGUCUCAUGCACACAUUGGCCAUUGUCAGACUGGCCCUGUGCUACAAGUGUGCCUCAUUUGCAUGGCAAUCUUUAUCAUUUAGAAGACUGUGAGCAAAAAAGUGACCAAGUGACCAGACUUGCCAAGAAGCUGUGUGAAACCCUGGAAGAUCAUGAAAAGGCACAUGAGUAGAUCCUCCUGUGGUUGCUAGUUGGAGCUGACCCUGGCAGCACAGGCCUGUACUCUCAGCUCCUCUAGAGUUUGAACAGAAAUAUCAUAUGUUCAAGACUCACCUAGUCUAUAGAGUAUGUUCAGGGCAAGCCUGGGCUACUAAGUGAGUCCUGUCUCAAAAGAAAAAGUAAAAAGAGGGCAGAGUUAAAGCUCAGAGUCCUUGCCUCCCACAUGAAAGGCUCACAGGGAGUUUGAACUGACUCUGAACUAAUCCUUCUAUCUCUAUUUUUUCUAUUUAAACUUUUAUUUCUAUUAAUAUUUUGAACUAGGAUAUGUUAUUGUUAUUGUUGUUGCUAUUAUUAUUCCAGAGAAAAAUCAUAGGCUUAACAGGUGACUGUGGAGUUUAAUGCUACAUUGUAAGUCGGCAACAGUCAACUUUAAUCUCCAGUAUAUCUCCAUACCAGGCUAUUUCUUAUAGGCUUGGUUUUAAAUAGAAAAUUCAGUUGAGUAGCUAGAUUUAAGUGUGAAGAUAUGCCUUGUUUAUAUUUCAGCUGGAAGGUACUCAGAAUAAAGCAUAUAUGUGUGUGUUUGUGUUUGUGUGUGUUUGCGUGUGUGCCUGUGCAUUAUGGCAUUUUCCUAGAUGUUAUUAUAUCUUGCUUAUUCCUGUCUUUCCUCCACUGCCCUUGCCACUUGUGCCCCCUUCUGCUCUUCCCCUUCUUUCCAAAUAUUCACCCCUCUACUUAAUAUAUCAUAUUACUCUCUCUCUUUUUUCUCUUCUUCCCAACUCCCCUUAAAAGAAGCACAGUUGUUUUUUAUUUUUUUAAUUGCCCGAGUCCUUACACAUUUAGACAGCUGAGUUCAUCUUUAAGUCAGCAUUAUCAGAUCCACCUCAGAGAAAAGCAAGCAAAUUUACAACUACUCAGAGAUAAUACUGGGCCACUUAGGCCCAUUAGUGUUCUACAGGAGUGUCAAGUGACCUUGUAUGAGAUUGCAGAAAGAUGGCCCUUAAGGCAAAGGCAGAUGCAGUAGCAAAUUACUCGUGCCCUAGAGGCACUUACAUGUUUUGUUCCUGUUUGGUCAAAGAAAAUAUAGUGACAGGGCUUAUUCCUUUAAUGGCGCCUCUUACAUUCUGGUUACAGAGUUUGUAUAUCCUGAAUAAUUUAUAUUACAGAUAUCUGUAUGUGCAUCUCUCCUAAUGAAUCUGACCACAGCUACACUGCAAGAUUCACGGUAAAACCGCUCUCUCUUUAAAGCAAUAAUGUCUGGGUCCUUUACCGUGCCAAGGUCUUCAAAGACUUUAACACUUUUUCAUUUGAUUUGAUUUGAUUUUUCUUUAAUAAUUUUUAGUAGUAAAGAAAACGGCUUGGGCAAGAGACACGAUGUGAUUAAGCUGUUUCUUCCAGCUAUAUUAUUAUGUUAGAAAAACUUCAGUUCAAAAAAAAAUUUUGACCUACGAAGGAAGCUCAGUCUGUAAUGUAUUUUUGCCAAGCCAACACCAGGUCCUGAUUUCUACCUCCAGAACCUACUUUUUAAAAAAAAUUAUAAUUUAUUUAUUUUUAUGUUGAUGGUGUUUUGCCUGCAUGUGUAUCUAUACACCAUGUGUAUCUAUACACCAUGUGUAUCUAUACACCAUGUGCCUUUGAAGGCAAAAUGAUGUCAUUGGCUCCCCUGGCACUAGGGAGGCAGACGGUUGUGUGCUGCCUUACGUGCUGGGAUGGAACCUGGAUCUUCUGGAAGAGCAGCCUGGGUUUUUAACCACUGACCCCAGCUCUCCUGCCCCAGAACACACACAACCUU
rnacentral:lncRNA from 1 species